GCAAGUGAAAGUUCGUGUUUAACAAUGGGAUGUGGCGAAUAUGGAAUAUGAGUGUGGGAAGCGGCCCCAGAUUUACGGCCCGGGUUUGCUGACGCGUUUGUCCAUGACGAAGCUUUCCGAGCGACCUCCAAUCUUGACGACCAAACUGAGGAGGUGCGCCGUCGUGCUGAAUCCACAUUCGUUGUCUUAUAUUAAGAGGAAGAUCACCCGGUAAUAUUAGAAGAUCAUUUUCAAUUAAGGUACAUUACAGGAAUGCGGGUUCUAGACAACACGGAAGAAAGUUGGCAACAACGCCAGGCCAACCUGCCGGUGUUGUGGGAGAGUAAUUAGGUCCUCGUCGCCGGUACGAAAAAGCGAUGAUCAACGUGUCAAAUUUUGACGAGUUUAGAGGCGUUUAACCGCCCCCGGUGGCCCUUUUGAUAUACGCCGGGCGCCUCGUUAGCAAAUAUCUACUUUGUACCGCGGAUGUGGGGCGCUCUAACAAAAUUUUACGCGGCGGAAAAAACAUUACUCCCCGUUCCAAACUGCUGACAUUCGCGGGGACUGCCCAAAAAAAAAAAAAAAAAAAAAAAACGAAAAAAAUCAUAAAUAAAAAAAUCGAGCGCCCAGAUUGAACAAUUUAUUAUUAUUGGCUGUCGGGGGGGUUCGCGCGGUAUAAUGGAUUCCCCGGGCCCUCGGAAUGUCGGAGGCAAAUUAAAAAUAAUUUGGGAAUUUAAUCUAGAAGGGCGAUCGUUAUCGGCCCCGCGAGGAAUGCCGAACCACGGCCGCGUAUAUAGGUACAGGGGGGAUCGAAAGAAAGUCCAUGAAUUCAUCACUUAAAAUGAAGGGGGAAUGGAUGAACUAUGCGUUAGCGGGUUUUCAAAAAUAUAUUUAAUGAAAUGAUUUUUUCAAAAUUGGUAAUGCAUAAACUUAGUAUAAUUUGCUACAAACUUAUUAAUGAAAAACUCUAAAAUCAGCGCAUAGUAGCUAUAGCCACGAGAUUAACAAAAAUACGUACU